rnacentral:rRNA from 1 species
UGUUUAUCAAAAACAUUGUCAUAGGACACCUCCUCUAUGAUAAGCCCUGCCCAAUGAUACUUAAUGGCUGCGGUAUCCUAACCGUACUAAGGUAGCAUAAUAAUUUGUCUAAUAAUUGUAGUCUAGAAUGAAGGGGUAAACGCAUGCACCACUGUCUCAGCUGUAACUAUAAAAAUUAUCCUUUAGGUGAAAAGACCUAAAUAUAAAUAAAGGACAAGAAGACCCUACAGAGCUUUAUUCUUAGCUAUUAAUAUAAACUAACUAUGAAUUUGGAUGGGGCGUCCCGAGAGUAACCCAACCUCUCCAUUCCACCAAGAAUAACCCCUCACCACUACAACCUCCACAAUGAAUAAAGAAAAGUUACCUUAGGGAUAACAGGCUAAUACUUCUCCAGAGCCCAUAUUUACAGAAGUGUUUGGCACCUCGAUGUUGGCUUAGGGUUCGACUACGAUGCAGCAAUCGUAAACUCCUAGUUUGUUCAACUAUAAAACCCCUACGUGAUCUGAGUUCA